AUGUCAAGCGAUGGCGGACCUACCUUCUCUGUCAAGCUGUUCAUCGACAAGGAGAAGAAGAAGGUGCUGUUUGCAGAAUCCGACAAGGACUUCGUCGACGUGCUCUUCAGCUUCCUCACCCUGCCUCUCGGCACCAUCGUUCGUCUCUUCGACAAGAAGUCUCAGGUCGGAUGCCUCGACGAGCUGUACAAGAGUGUGGAGAGUCUCGGUGAAGAUCACUUCCAAACCAAGGCGUGCAAGGCCAUGCUUCUUGCGCCGCUCAAUGCAGCUGCAGUCCAUUGCAAUCGGCUUAAAGUGAAAGUUGUCGACAAAAAUCCUAUGUAUCGCUGCAAAAAUGCCAGUUGCCGUGUUACAGCAUUUAGCUCCGUCCCUCAUGCUAUUUGCUAUUGUAAAAACGUUGUUCAGUACAUCGGGGAAUGGACAAACAAAAAUUGUCGUGAUUCUGACAGUAAGGAGGAUGCAGUUUUUGUCAUUGGUGUCGCCAAGUUCAUCAUAACGGAUGAUCUCCAAGUUGCUCCUGCUUCCACAAGGGUCAUGUUUUCGUUGAUUGAAAAAUAUGGGAUACCAGAAAAGGAGAAUAUCCAGGAGAAGGUGAUCCAGCUCAAUUCUGCCAAGAUGAUCGGUCUGCUUAGGAGAGCGCUGCUGACAAAACAAGUCUUAACUGGACUUUAUUUUGACGUUGCUAUCCUGGCAAAUCCUGCAGACAUGUGUAUGCUUUCCGAAAGUAUGUUCGCAAAACAGGCGCUUGAGACUGAACCCAAGUUCAAAGCCAUCAAGGUAAGGCUUGUUCAUGCAAAGGAUGAUUCGGUGCUAUAUGCUGAAGUUGGGCAAGACUUCGUCGAUCUCGUAUUUGGACUCCUUAGCACGCCACUUGGAACUAUCAUGAAGACUUUCAGGGAGUUACCCCAAACCGGUUGUGUUGAUAGUAUUUACAAGAGUGUCGCUGCAAGUGUGAAACAGGAAUGUCAAAGCUUACUUCUAUCCCCAGUGCUAGCGCCUUUCUUUGUUUGCAGCAGCAAUGUGAUGCAAGUACAAGAAUUAGCUCUUCGAUGGCUUGUGAUUGGAUCCACUAGCUGUUUUGAGUUGAAUCCCAAAUCCGUUAAUGAUAGAGCCUAUAUCAAGGAUGGCCCCAUGAACUUCAUGGUGACCGACGACCUCCAGAUCCGCCCAUUUUGCUUGAUCAACACCCUCGAGUUCCUGCGCGCAUGCAAGGUUCCCAAGGACAAGCUAGUGGAGAAAGAACUCACGCUCAACAAAACCCAGGUUCUGAAGCUUGUGGGAGCUGCAUUUGGGACGAGCAAAGCACUCAGCAGCGUGCUCAUGCCUUCGAAGAAGUAG
rnacentral:rRNA from 1 species